UACGGAGGAUCCGAGCGUUAUCCGGAAUUACUGGGCGUAAAGGGUGCGUAGGUGGUUUCUUAAGUCAGAGGUGAAAGGCUACGGCUCAACCGUAGUAAGCCUUUGAAACUGGGAAACUUGAGUGCAGGAGAGGAGAGUGGAAUUCCUAGUGUAGCGGUGAAAUGCGUAGAUAUUAGGAGGAACACCAGUUGCGAAGGCGGCUCUCUGGACUGUAACUGACACUGAGGCACGAAAGCGUGUGGAGCAAACAGGAUUAGAUACCCCGGUAGUCCCUGA
rnacentral:rRNA from 1 species